CCAAGGCGACGACGGGUAGCUGGUCUGAGAGGACGACCAGCCACACGGGAAUUGAGAGACGGUCCCGACUCNUACGGGAGGCAGCAGUGGGGAAUCUUGGGCAAUGGGGGAAACCCUGACCCAGCGACGCCGCGUGGGGGAUGAAGGCCUUCGGGUUGUAAACCCCUGUUAGGUGGGACGAACAUCCUCCGGUAAAUAAUUGGGGGAUCUGACGGUACCACCAGAGAAAGCCCCGGCUAACUCCGUGCCAGCAGCCGCGGUAAUACGGAGGGGGCGAGUGUUGUUCGGAAUUACUGGGCGUAAAGGGCGCGCAGGCGGCUUGGCAAGUCGAGUGUGAAAUCCCUUGGCUUAACUGAGGAAUGGCGCUCGAAACUACCUCGCUAGAGGGCGGGAGAGGGAAGUGGAACUCUCGGUGUAGGGGUGAAAUCUGUAGAUAUCGAGAGGAACACCGGUGGCGAAGGCGGCUUCCUGGCCCGUACCUGACGCUGAGGCGCGAAAGC
rnacentral:rRNA from 1 species